GUUGCUUCAGGCCUAGAUUGACUAAAACUGGAAUGAAACAGAGAAGAUUGGCACAGCCCUGGUGCAGGAGGACACACGAAUGCUUGGAGCAUUCCAUAUUUGA